rnacentral:misc_RNA from 1 species
GAUGAAGAACGUAGCGAAAUGCGAUAAGUAAUGUGAAUUGCAGAAUUCAGUGAAUCAUCGAAUCUUUGAACGCACCUUGCACCCUUUGGCAUUCCGAAGGGUAUGCUCGUUUGAGUGUCAUUGUACUCUCACACUUCCAAUCUUUGGAUUGGGGGCGGUGGACUUGGGUGUUGCUGCUUACUGUGGCUCACCUCAAAUUGAUUCGUGCACCUCUUGGUUGGACAUAGUACGGCGUGAUAAGUGUCUUCGCCGGCACCUCAGUAGAGGGUGGCUGAUCGGGAGCUCUGUGCUUCAAACCGUCCUCGGACAACAACUGACAACUUGACCUCAAAUCGAGUAGGACUACCCGCUGAACUUAAGCAUAUCAAUAAGCGGGGA